UAGGUCUGACUCUGAAGGUAGUAUUCUGUGGAAUCUAGCCAGCAGGUCCUAGAACAGUAUCCCAAUCUUGUCAUUACUAGCUUCAGAGUAAAUGCAAGAGUCCCUCACUCACUUGUUCCCAAUUGCCUAAUAUGAGCACUGUGCAAGUACCUGAGCCUCAGUUACUUCAUCUACAAAAUGGGAGCCUUUCUAUCUGUCUCACGUGGUUGUGAGGAUUACAAGGGAGAACAAAAAGUAUUUAUAAUGACAAGUAAUAAUAGAAAUUCUCUUCUUAUUUCUUUCCCCUGAUUUUCUUUCCAGCCGAUCCCUGCCCUCAGCUAGCUGUCAUAGUUGCACAAAUCAUCAAAAAAAAAAGUCACAUAACUGACCUCCAAUUAGAUCCAGUACGAAGUACUGGGCAGUAAUGUUGGAUGGCCAUGAUGGACGAGGAUCUCAAUGUCCUGUGAAAUUGCAACAAGCUCUCUGAGUCAUCAAAGGAAGAUUUGAUUAGGUUCCAUCUUGUUGAGAGUAUGUAGCAUUCCAGAGUGGCCAUGGCUGUGACGAUGAAGUGCUAGAAAAGCAGAGAACAAGUGAGGGGUGGAAGAGGGAUGUGGCAUGGAGGGACCCCAGGCCCUUGAGAAGAGGAGAAGGAGUUUAUCCCUUGGCACAUAGGACAGCGUUUCCCCGCUGUCAUCCUUCAUGCACUGUCUUCAAGGCCUUUGUGAAACUCCCCAC